rnacentral:rRNA from 1 species
AGCGGGAAGUAGUUUACUACUUUGCCGGCGAGCGGCGGACGGGCGAGUAAUGUCUGGGAAACUGCCUGAUGGAGGGGGAUAACUACUGGAAACGGUAGCUAAUACCGCAUAACGUCUUCGGACCAAAGUGGGGGACCUUCGGGCCUCACGCCAUCGGAUGUGCCCAGAUGGGAUUAGCUAGUAGGUGGGGUAAUGGCUCACCUAGGCGACGAUCCCUAGCUGGUCUGAGAGGAUGACCAGCCACACUGGAACUGAGACACGGUCCAGACUCCUACGGGAGGCAGCAGUGGGGAAUAUUGCACAAUGGGCGCAAGCCUGAUGCAGCCAUGCCGCGUGUGUGAAGAAGGCCUUCGGGUUGUAAAGCACUUUCAGCGAGGAGGAAGGCCAAUAACUUAAUACGUUGUUGGAUUGACGUUACUCGCAGAAGAAGCACCGGCUAACUCCGUGCCAGCAGCCGCGGUAAUACGGAGGGUGCAAGCGUUAAUCGGAAUUACUGGGCGUAAAGCGCACGCAGGCGGUUUGUUAAGUCAGAUGUGAAAUCCCCGCGCUUAACGUGGGAACUGCAUUUGAAACUGGCAAGCUAGAGUCUUGUAGAGGGGGGUAGAAUUCCAGGUGUAGCGGUGAAAUGCGUAGAGAUCUGGAGGAAUACCGGUGGCGAAGGCGGCCCCCUGGACAAAGACUGACGCUCAGGUGCGAAAGCGUGGGGAGCAAACA